CCAAGGAAGAUUAUAUAAGAUGACAAGCCGGAAGCAGCUGAAUUAUUUAUUGUACUGGUUGCAUGGAUCAAUCUUCACAUAUUUUUUCAGAACAAGACAAUUACUGCCAGAUUGCAAUUUGUUUCUCUUAUCCACUUUGCAGUGGGUGACUUUUCCAAUCAAGUGUAGGAGGCUACUUUGUACCAACUUGGUAUAUGUAGACAUCUUCAAUUCGAGGCUGCUGUGACCUGCAAGAGUACUACUACUCAUAAGAGCCAUAGUUCUCACAAUGUAAUUCAAGAAGCUGAUAAUUCAAAGUUACCUGCUAGCUAUACAGACUUGGAGAGUUCGAUAUUAUCUGAUGUUGGUCCAAGGAAGGUGUCCAACAGUAGGGAGUUGUUCGGCUACUCACAAGUUAGAGCAUCCUGGACGUCUGGCAGCUCAUCUGAAUUUGUUGAUUCCAAUCAACGUAGUGGAAGCCUUGCCAUCUCAGACCCCAUUCCAUCUUAUAGUGAUUUUCAUUUAAAAAGCAUUGGCAGAUCAGUGCCCAUGGACUCAGAUCUUAUUCCACACACAAAAUUGCCUCUUUAUAAGAGUUUUGAAGAUCAUGGCCAGAGGGAUUGUUUAGCAAAGGACUUAAAUAGAUCCUUAUUCUCACCUGUAGCUGGGGAAACAUAUGCUCAUGUGGACAAUUAUCAGCAAGAUAAUCUAACUGUUGUGGAAACCGGUCCUUCUGCUUCUCUGUGUACUGAAAGUUUAACAUCACGGAGUGAUUCUCUGCAUAUGAAGCCUUCUGAGCCGGGAGUUUCUUCUGAGUGCAGAACACUCAUUUCACAAAAUACUAAUAGGGUUGAGGAGUUAAACCAAGUGAGCCCCAAGAAAGAAAAAGGCAAAGAACACAGGUGAGGGUGAUGGCUGCAAACAUUGCAAUUGCAAGAGGGCCAAGUGCUUAAAACUGUGGGUCUGCAGGAACCAUGAAUAGAUUCUAUAUUUAAGUGGCUGUUAGACAUUCAUAUGCAUUUAGACUUAUUUCAUUGUCCAGCCUCAUAUCUUCAUUUAGAAAAUAAUGACACAAUAAAAACCACCGGUACAUUUGCCAUUUGUUUCAACUUUGGUCAUUGGUAGUUAUUGUGAGUGCUUUGCAGCUGGGGUCCUUUGUGUCAAUUCUUGUACAUGUAAAGACUGUUUUAACAGGCCCGAAUAUGAAGACACAGUUCUUGAUUUGCGACAACAGAUUGAAUUGCGUGAUCCACUUGCAUUGGCUCCAAAGAUUGUCAAGCAUGCAGCACCAGCAAAUGUGGUGAUCCCUUGAAAUUCCAUUUCUGUGAAACUAUAAGUAUUUUAAUUUGAGACACCUAUGCAGGAAGAUGGAAACUGGGCAACUCCAGCCUCAGCCAGGCACAAAAGAGGAUGCAACUGCAAGAUGUCUUAAAAAAUGUUGUGAAUGCUAUCAGGUCUCUCAGUUUCCAGAAUUACAGUGAUGAUGUAUGGUCAAAUUUUUCAACUAAUUCGAAAAGGCCUCAUACUUGAGUUGAGAUCAGGAAACUGGAUGGGAAUUUAGCACAAAUUUGCCCAUUGAUCAUUCUGACUGGACACCCUUUUUUUCUUUUUUGGCUAUAUUCAAAGCUAACGUUGGAUGCUCAGAUGGAUGUCAAUGUGAGGAUUGUAGUAAUUCAUUUGGCAAGAAGGCAGAUUCAGCAUACUGUAGAGUUCAAAGAUGGGAGAAUCCAUCUGCUGACGGCAUCAUGUCUGGGAGGUUAAAACAGUUUUCAAGAUGGGAAGAACUUCCUCAUAGAAGCAUCUAACAUAUCCAAAGGCUUUGGCAUCUUCAGCUUCAACUAUGAGCAACUGUCGUAACUCAUCACCAGAGAACCAACAUUGGCACAGUUCAGUGAGUUUUACGCCACAAUUAUGCGAGAGCAGUGCUGGUCAUGGCCGCAGUUAUUACAGCGCCUUCCAUGCCUUACUGAAAGAUGAUGAUAUGCUUGAGACCAAGGAAACUUCUACACCAACCAGGAAAAUCAAGGUUACCUCACCAAAUAAGAAGUUGGUAUCUCCACAAUCUCGAUCACAGGAGUUGAGGUCAAGCUCUUCUCCAGACCUACAAAGUGGGCACAAAUUUAGUUUGCAGGCUAUGCCAUCUUUCACUCCUCUUUCUCCAUACAUCAAGUCCAAAAAUGAUUACGGUCACAGUGACUUGAAACGUGAAGCCAGUGAUCAUUGAUUUUCUAAGCUAUAGAAGGUUUAGUUACAGAAGUUUUAUUUAUUACUUUAUAAUAAAAUAUUUUGCAGCUUAGUUUUAUUCUCAAAGGCACACUAUGUAAUCUGUUAAGUCAGUGACUCCUUUUUUCUCAGAUAAACUGCAAAAACUUAUGUACUCCAGAUACUGGUAGAGUAUUGAUAAAGUUCUGUAGUGUUGUGGUGCCAGUAGCUUCUGGUGAAAUGGCAUAUUGUCAGUAUCAUCUGAAUAGAAAUCAAUAAUAUGAAACAAUUCUGACGUUUUCUGCUGA